UCGUGCCAGUUCGAUCGGGAUACUCAUCAAUAAAAAAAUCGAAACCGAGAAGACUUCUCUUGCUAAUGGCGGGCCAUAUAAAACCCUUAGUGGACUAAGCUGUAAAGCCGGUGGAUUACAAAGGCGGAGAGCUCUCAAAUCUUGUAUACUCGGAGUUUCAUCACAUCACUGGGCGGCCCUUUU
rnacentral:sRNA from 1 species